rnacentral:rRNA from 1 species
UACGUAGGGGGCAAGCGUUAUCCGGAUUUACUGGGUGUAAAGGGAGCGCAGACGGCAGCGCAAGUCUGGAGUGAAAGCCCGGGGCCCAACCCCGGAACUGCUCUGGAAACUGUGCGGCUAGAGUACUGGAGGGGCAGGCGGAAUUCCUAGUGUAGCGGUGAAAUGCGUAGAUAUUAGGAGGAACACCAGUGGCGAAGGCGGCCUGCUGGACAGUAACUGACGUUGAGGCUCGAAAGCGUGGGGAGCAAACAGG